CCUGCCUCCCUCUCUUCCUCCUUUCUGCCUUUCUUCCUCCCCUCCUUCCUCCUUUCUUACCCCUUCCUUCUUCCCUCCUUUCCUUACUGCCCCUUCUCUUCUCUCCCGUCCUUCCCUCUCCCCUCCCAUCCUGUCAUCUUCCUCCUCACUCUCUGCUUGUUACUUGGUGAUAUAAAUGAAAUUUCAGUGUGAUUCCAAAAUCUACCUGUCUUCCUGUGCCAUAGAAAGUCUAUCCCACUGUCUGAGAAUGGAGAUAUACUAUAGAAAAUUGAAUUUCUAGAAUCUUAAGAGCUCUCUUAUGUUAGCUCCUGGAAGUUAAAUGCUCUCCUUUCAAAGGACCUGCCGAUUCCUUUUGACUCUCAUGACAUCAGCCACAUUUAUGGCUCACUGAUGCAAGUUGAGUGGACGAUUUAUUCACCAUCUUCUUGAAGCUAUUGUGGAGACAUGGUGCUUGCAUAGCAUUGGACAAACACACAGUGGCCUGAGAUGCCGGGACUCUGUACACUUCAACUGCACCAUUUUACCAACUAAGCAUCUCUGGAACUCACUCAUCUGCCUGUUUGCUACAAUCCGGCUUUUUAUAACAGAGAGAUAGGCCAGCUGCUGGUUCCACCCCAUUUCCACCAAGAAGACUGAUGGGCACUGAAGAAGCUUCAUCUUGAGUCAAUGACAACACUAGUCACUGAGCAACCCUGCCCUUCACCUCAACUGCUACAAAGUAUUCCAGACUGUGGACAAGAGGACAGUGGAAUCGACUUUCCCUGUGUUGCUUGGGCCAACGGAUUCUUGUAAGUUCCAGUGAGCGGAAUUGGAUCCAAACAAACAGGUCUAAGAGGCGCCAGGGAGUUCUGCACAGCCUGGACUGCAAUGAAACAACCAGCUACACCAGGACUUGGCAGCACCCUAACCUUCUCAGGUCCCCCAAAGAUGGUCAACGACCCCCACAUCAGCAGGAAGCAGUCUUGAGAAUUCGAUGUCCAUCCUUAUUCCUUAACCUGCUAUGUCUAAUACCCCACCUUUUUAAAUAAUAAGUAGAGGUGGGAAUGAAAGGUUCAGGCUUUAAUGCUGAUCGGCAAUAUCUCUUUAAGAGACAGACCCUGCCCCCUGACAACAGUCAGGGCACGCACAGGGACGUGCCAUCACCAAGUCACCCACUAUGCAUUACAGCCUGUGUGAGGACUCUGGGCAUUCGUGGAACCUCAGUGAGCAUGCUCAGUCUUCCCUUUAAAAGUUCCAACAUCCCUGCUGCUCUCUCUCUCUCUCUCUCUCUCUCUCUCAUCUCUCUCUCUCUCUACUUCACUCUCUCUUCUCCCACCCACGUGCUCUCUCUGCCUCUCUAUGGCAUCUGGCCAUGGUGGUCAGUCAUUACCCCUGUUCCUCUUCUCUCUUAGUCUCCCUACUCUGCCGGGCCCAUAUAACAUACUAGUCAAUAUGUCUCAUCUUGCGUCCUCCUCUUUUUCUUCAAAAACAUAACACUGGGAAUGUAUGCAUGCGCCACCAUGCCCAGAGUUCUUCUAAUAGUUGCUACCUACACUGGUCCUGGUGGGCCCUAGUACCCAACACCUACAGACUCCUAUUUAAGUAUAACUAAGUAACCGUUGGCUAAUGUUUCCUAAAUAAUUUUAUUUAAAAAAAACGGCAUGCUAAAAUAUGAAUCUAAAAAAUUAACUAUAUUUAUCAAAGGAAUGC
rnacentral:lncRNA from 1 species